AUUUCUUUAGUAUAGUCAGUACAAGUGCCUUCCAAGCAUUAAGCUCCAAAGGAAAGAAAUA
rnacentral:tRNA from 1 species